CUCGUAGGCGGCCAACUAAGUCAGACGUGAAAUCCCUCGGCUUAACCGGGGAACUGCGUCUGAUACUGGAUGGCUUGAGGUUGGGAGAGGGAUGCGGAAUUCCAGGUGUAGCGGUGAAAUGCGUAGAUAUCUGGAGGAACACCGGUGGCGAAGGCGACAUCCUGGACCAAUUCUGACGCUGAGUGAGCGAAAGCCAGGGGAGCAAACG
rnacentral:rRNA from 1 species